AUUGAACGCUGGCGGCGUGCCUAACACAUGCAAGUCGAGCGGUAACAGGUGUAGCAAUACAUGCUGACGAGCGGCGAACGGGUGAGUAAUGCUUCGGAAUCUGCCCAUGUAAUGGGGAAUAACCAGCCGAAAGGUUGGCUAAUACCGCAUACGACCCUUGCCCACAAAGGCAAAGGUGAAAGCAGGGGAUCGCAAGACCUUGCGCUAUUGGAUGAGCCGAAGUCGGAUUAGCUAGUUGGUAGGGUAACGGCCUACCAAGGCGACGAUCCGUAGCUGGUCUGAGAGGACGACCAGCCACACUGGGACUGAGACACGGCCC
rnacentral:rRNA from 1 species